rnacentral:rRNA from 1 species
GUGAGUCAUCGAAUCUUUGAACGCACCUUGCGCUCCUUGGUAUUCCGAGGAGCAUGCCUGUUUGAGUGUCAUGAAAUUCUCAACCCAACAAGUUCUUAACGGGACUUUGCUUGUGGCUUGGACUUGGAGGUCUGUCGGCUCAUUAGCAGUCGGCUCCUCUCAAAUGCAUUAGCUUGGUUCCUUGCGGAUCGGCUCACGGUGUGAUAAUUGUCUACGCCGCGACCGUUGAAGCGUUUUAAUGGCCAGCUUCUAAUCGUCUCUUGCGAGACAGCAUUCAUCGAACUCUGACCUCAAAUCAGGUAGGACUACCCGCUGAACUUAA